rnacentral:rRNA from 1 species
GCUCGUGGGCGAAGCCUGACCGCAACGCCGCGUGCGCGAUGAAGGCCUUCGGGUCGUAAAGCGCUUUUGGGAGGGGUGAAAAUGACAGUACCUCCCGAAUAAGGAUCGGCUAACUACGUGCCAGCAGCCGCGGUAAGACGUAGGAUCCAAGCGUUAUCCGGAAUUACUGGGCGUAAAGGGCGUGUAGGAGGUUGGGCAAGUCGGCCAUGAAAGCUCCCGGCUCAACUGGGAGAGGCUGGUCGAUACUGCCUGGCUAGAGGGCAAGAGAGGGAGGUGGAAUUCCCGGUGUAGUGGUGAAAUGCGUAGAUAUCGGGAGGAAGGGGGGUGGCGAAGGCGGCCUCCUGGCUUGUACCUGACUCUGAAACGCGA